GAGUUUGAUCCUGGCUCAGAGUGAACGCUGGCGGCAGGCCUAACACAUGCAAGUCGAGCGGCAGCACGGGUAGCAAUACCUGGUGGCGAGCGGCGGACGGGUGAGGAAUACAUCGGAAUCUGCCUUGUCGUGGGGGAUAACGUAGGGAAACUUACGCUAAUACCGCAUACGACCGAGAGGUGAAAGCGGGGGAUCGCAAGACCUCGCGCGACAAGAUGAGCCGAUGUCGGAUUAGCUAGUUGGCGGGGUAAGAGCCCACCAAGGCGACGAUCCGUAGCUGGUCUGAGAGGAUGAUCAGCCACACUGGAGCUGAGACACGGUCCAGACUCCUACGGGAGGCAGCAGUGGGGAAUAUUGGACAAUGGGCGCAAGCCUGAUCCAGCCAUGCCGCGUGGGUGAAGAAGGCCUUCGGGUUGUAAAGCCCUUUUGUUGGGGACGAAAUCGUACGGGUGAAUAUCCCGUGCGGAUGACGGUACCCAAAGAAUAAGCACCGGCUAACUUCGUGCCAGCAGCCGCGUAAUUC
rnacentral:rRNA from 1 species